AGGAUUUUGACUUUUGGAAUUGUAAUCUUUUGGGAUUGUGGUUUUUGGAAUUAUAUACUUUAGGGAUUUUGAUUUUUCAGAAUGUCAGCAUUUGGGAUUAUGACAUUUGGAUUUGUGAAUUUCAGGUUUAUGAUCAGCACUGCCUCCAGCCACAGACAGUCUGUAUCUGUACUCUAGUCACUUGGUGACAAGGACUGUGGUGAAAGUCAACCUGACCACUGACUGUUGGCAGUGUCAACCUAUUGUGUCACCUCACAGCGAGACAGCCCCAAUUCCAGUUCUUAUUCAGAUAAGGAAUUAUCAGCGCAUUGAGCAGAAUCUGACGUCUACUGCCAGCUCUAGUACAAAUUCACAUGGUUCUCCAAGGUAAGCUUAUGUCUUAAUUUUUUAACCUUUCGUUAUUGUUGUUGUUACUAUAUAUUAUUGAAAGAUCUGAAGCUUUCAAUCAAAUGUGUGUGUAUGUAUGUGUGUUUGCACGUAGAGAUGCAUAUAUAUAUAUAUA
rnacentral:lncRNA from 1 species